UACGUAUGGUGCAAGCGUUAUCCGGAUUUACUGGGUGUAAAGGGAGUGCAGGCGGUGCGGCAAGUCUGAUGUGAAAGCCCGGGGCUCAACCCCGGUACUGCAUUGGAAACUGUCGUACUAGAGUGUCGGAGGGGUAAGCGGAAUUCCUAGUGUAGCGGUGAAAUGCGUAGAUAUUAGGAGGAACACCAGUGGCGAAGGCGGCUUACUGGACGAUAACUGACGCUGAGGCUCGAAAGCGUGGGGAGCAAACAGG
rnacentral:rRNA from 1 species